rnacentral:rRNA from 1 species
AGUGAACGCUGGCGGCGUGCCUAAUACAUGCAAGUCGAACGGAGUGGCGCACGGGUGAGUAAUGUAUAGCUAAUCUGCCCUACACUAGAGGCCAACAGUUGGAAACGGCUGCUAAUACUCUAUAGUGUAGGAUGAGGCUAUUUUGUAUCAGUUAGUUGGUGAGGUAAUGGCUCACCAAGGCUAUGACGCAUAGCUGGACUGAGAGGAUGGUCAGUCACACUGGAACUGAGGCACGGUCCAGCCUCCUACGGGAGGCAGCAGUAGGGAAUAUUGCUCAAUGGGGGAAACCCUGAAGCAUCAACGGCGCGUGGAGGAUGACACUUUUCGGAGCGUAAACUCCUUUUGUUAGGGAAGCGGUACCUAACGAAUAAGCACCGGCUAACUACGUGCCAGCAGCCGCGGUAAUUC